rnacentral:rRNA from 1 species
AUUGAACGCUGGCGGCAGGCCUAACACAUGCAAGUCGAACGAGUGGCGGACGGGUGAGUAAUGUCUGGGAAACUGCCUGAUGGAGGGGGAUAACUACUGGAAACGGUAGCUAAUACCGCAUACCAUCGGAUGUGCCCAGAUGGGAUUAGCUAGUAGGUGGGGUAAAGGCGCACCUAGGCGACGAUCCCUAGCUGGUCUGAGAGGAUGACCAGCCACACGGGAACGGAGACACGAGCCAGACUCCUAAGGUAGGGAGCAGUGGGGAAUAGUGCACAAUGGGCGCAAGCCUGAUGCAGCCAUGCCGCGUGUAUGAAGAAGGCCUUCGGGUUGUAAAGUACGUUCAGCGGGGAGGCGUUACCCGCAGAAGAAGCACCGGCUAACUCCGUGCCAGCAGCCGCGGUAAUAC